UACGAAGGGGGCUAGCGUUGCUCGGAAUCACUGGGCGUAAAGGGUGCGUAGGCGGGUCUUUUAAGUCAGGGGUGAAAUCCUGGAGCUCAACUCCAGAACUGCCUUUGAUACUGAAGAUCUUGAGUUCGGGAGAGGUGAGUGGAACUGCGAGUGUAGAGGUGAAAUUCGUAGAUAUUCGCAAGAACGCCAGUGGCGAAGGCGGCUCACUGGCCCGAUACUGACGCUGAGGCACGAAAGCGCUG
rnacentral:rRNA from 1 species